UACGUAGGGUGCAAGCGUUGUCCGGAAUUAUUGGGCGUACAGGGAGCGUAGGCGGUUGGAUAAGCCCUCCGUGAAAUCUCCAGGCUUAACCUGGAAAGUGCAGAGGGGACUGUUCAGCUAGAGGAUGGGAGAGGAGCGCGGAAUUCCCGGUGUAGCGGUGAAAUGCGUAGAGAUCGGGAGGAACACCAGAGGCGAAGGCGGCGACCUGGACAGGAACUGACACUAAACUACGAAAGCGUGGGGAGCAAACAGG
rnacentral:rRNA from 1 species